AUUGAACGCUGGCGGAAUGCUUUACUCAUGCAAGUCGAACGGCAGCACGGGAGCUUGCUCCUGGUGACGAGUGGCGAACGGGUGAGUAACAUAUCGGAACGUACCUAGUAAUGGGGGAUAACUAGUCGAAAGAAUAGCUAAUACCGCAUACGCCCUGAGGGGGAAAGCGGGGGAUCGUAAGACCUCGCGUUAUUAAAGCGGCCGAUAUCUGAUUAGCUAGUUGGUGGGGUAAAAGCCUACCAAGCCGACGAUCAGUAGCUGGUCUGAGAGGACGACCAGCCACACUGGAACUGAGACACGGUCCAGACUCCUACCGGAGGCAGCAGUGGGGAAUUUUGGACAAUGGGCGCAAGCCUGAUCCAGCCAUUCCGCGUGAGUGAAGAAAGCCUUCGGGUUGUAAAGCUCUUUCGCAAGGGAAGAAACGAUGCAGUCAAAUAAACUGCGUUAAUGACGGUACCUUGAUAAGAAGCACCGGCUAACUACGUGCUAGCAGCCGCGGUAAUACGUAGGGUGCGAGCGUUAAUCGGAAUUACUGGGCGUAAAGCGUGCGCAGGCGUUUUUGUAAGUCAGAUGUGAAAUCCCCGGGCUCAACCUGGGAACUGCGUUUGAAACUACAGGGCUAGAGUGUAGCAGAGGGGGGUAGAAUUCCACGUGUAGCAGUGAAAUGCGUAGAGGUGUGGAGGAAUACCAAUGGCGAAAGCAGCCCCCUGGGUUAACACUGACGCUCAUGCACGUAAGCGUGGGGAGCAAACAGGAUUAGAUACCCUGGUAGUCCGCGCCCUAAACGAUG
rnacentral:rRNA from 1 species